UGGGGGAUAUUGCACAAUGGGCGAAAGCCUGAUGCAGCGACGCCGCGUGGGGGAUGAAGGCCUUCGGGUUGUAAACUUCUUUUGCUCUGAACAAGGCGCACCAUGGGGUGUGUUGAGUGUAGGGGUUGAUUAGCGCCGGCUAACUACGUGCCAGCAGCCGCGGUAAUACGUAGGGCGCGAGCGUUGUCCGGAAUUAUUGGGCGUAAAGGGCUUGUAGGUGGCUGGUUGCGUCUGUCGUGAAAGCUACUGGCUUAACUGUGGGUUUGCGGUGGGUAAGAGCUAUCUUGAGUGCAGUAGGGGAGGCUGGAAUUCCUGGUGUAGCGGUGGAAUGCGCAGAUAUCAGGAGGAAUACCGGUGGCGAAGGCGGGUCUCUGGGCUGUUACUGACACUGAGGAGCGAAAGCAUGGGGAGCGAACAGG
rnacentral:rRNA from 1 species